CUUUACUGUAGCCUGGAAUUGGCUUCGGGCGGUGCUUGCGCAGGAUAGGUGGGAGACUAUGAAGCUGCCCUUGUGGGGGCAGUGGAGUCAUCAGUGAGAUACCACUCUGUCAAGGCUAGAAUUCUAACCGUCUGCCGUUAUCCGGCGACGGAACAGUAUCAGGUGGGCAGUUUGACUGGGGCGGUCGCCUCCUAAAUGGUAACGGAGGCGCGCAAAGGUUCCCUCAGGCUGGUUGGAAAUCAGCCGAAGAGUGUAAAGGCAGAAGGGAGCUUGACUGCAAGAGCAACAACUCAAGCAGGGACGAAAGUCGGCCUUAGUGAUCCGACGGCGCUGAGUGGAAGGGCCGUCGCUCAACGGAUAAAAGUUA
rnacentral:rRNA from 1 species